UUUAAUGAGAGUUUGAUCCUGGCUCAGGACGAACGCUGGCGGCGUGCCUAAUACAUGCAAGUAGAACGCUGAGGUUUGGUGUUUACACUAGACUGAUGAGUUGCGAACGGGUGAGUAACGCGUAGGUAACCUGCCUCAUAGCGGGGGAUAACUAUUGGAAACGAUAGCUAAUACCGCAUAAGAGUAAUUAACACAUGUUAGUUAUUUAAAAGGAGCAAUUGCUUCACUGUGAGAUGGACCUGCGUUGUAUUAGCUAGUUGGUGAGGUAAAGGCUC
rnacentral:rRNA from 2 species